CCCUUAGAUGUCCUGGGCUGCACGCGCGCUACACUGAUGUGUCCAGUAAGCACCUAACCUCUUCCGAAAGGAACGGGUAACCUUUGCAAAGCACAUCGUGAUGGGGAUAGAUUAUUGCAAUUAUUAGUCUUGAACGAGGAAUUCCUAGUAAGCACAAGUCAUCAGCUUGUGUUGAUUACGUCCCUGCCCUUUGUACACACCGCCCGUCGCUACUACCGAUUGAAUGGCUUAGUGAGGUCUUCGGACUGGACUUCGGGGAGCCGGCAACGGCACCCUGUCGCUGGGAAGUUGAUCAAACUUGGUCAUUUAGAGGAAGUAAAAGUCGUAACA
rnacentral:rRNA from 1 species